ACCUACAGGAGCUCGCAGACAGACAUCAUCAGCUGUACCUGAGCUAAGCGAGAAUGAGGAGAAUGAGUUAGAAAUAGAACUGGAGAGGCUCACCACAGAGCUGCACCUCCUUACCCUGAAGAGAAAUGAGCAGAGAAAUGACCUGAUAGCUUUCUAAGAGGGAUCCAUGAACAAGAGGACCAGGCCCUUCAAGGUGAUAAAUCUGUUCUAUAAACUACUGAAAUUAAAGAACAUGGAGGUCAGGUCCUCUGUGCACAAAUCUGAUGAAGUUAAUUGAGGCCCAAGAGAACAUCGACAAGCUCAAUAAGGAGAUAAGCCACUAUUUAAACCUACAUAGCUGGCUCAGGAUGGAGAAGA
rnacentral:lncRNA from 1 species